ensembl:lncRNA
CUAACUUUUUCCCUCUUUCCUCGCUGUGCUGUUGACAUCUGAGAAGAAGAUGGCAGCUUAUUAUGUAGCGAGUUCACCCUACGCUACAAUAGUGAGCAACGACAGCCAAUCAACCUUAGCCAAGACACUGAGGCUUUGUCAUGCCUGUUGCUGGUUACUUUAAUGUUUUUUUUGUGUUUUUUUUAGAGGGUUUUGCGCCGGCCCCUGCAAGUGCAUGUUAUGCCAUGGCCUGAAACCAAGGAGGUGGGCUGAGUGCUGACAGAGAACGAAAAAACAGAUACUCCGUCUUUCUCAAACAUCUUCAAGGUCUCUGGGGAGGAAUAAAUGCCCCUCAGUAGGUGAUGGGUUUAGGGAGACAACUCUGGAGCUGUACAGGGUCCACAGAGCAGUGGACUCGAGAGGGGUAUCUGCACUCGCUGUUCCUUUUUCCUAUGCAUAUACCGCUUUGAGAUCUAGCUUUAAAGAGGCAUAAGGCAUGGGAAAAUGGGGCUGCAGAGGUAUUUCACCGACCAAACUACCCCUGGUUGUUCAACUACCACAGCCCUGAGUUCUCCCUGUUUCCCCAUUUUGGACCUCGAUCUAGAGGACCUCAACAAGACCACACCCUGAACUCAGUGGAGAGACCAUACCUCGUAAGGAGAGACUGGAUUUUACAAUGUCCCGAUGGCUCCUUUAUUUAUGAUGAUAAUGCAUAAUGCAUGAUGAUAAUGUACAUUUCGUAGCUGUCCAAGCUGUUGCUGUAUUGCUGGCUUUUGAUAUUGAUUCAUGUUUUGCAGUGUUUGUUGUCCACCUAGCGGGUGGAAUUGUCUGUCUGUUGUUGUUCAGUAACAAAGUGUGUAAAAAAAAUCAAAAAAAUAAACAUUAAUGAUCUUCAAAUGUUUGUCUUACUUUCUAUUAUAGGACAAAUGUAUCCCUUACACUGAAUGACCAUGAAUAGUUGGUGAUAAUAACAUCUUUAAAAGAUUUACAUUGAAGUUAUUCUAUGACUUAAAAUUAAAUACCACCAUAC